AUGUAAAUUCCUACAACAUAGAAUUAAUGCACUGGAUCCCAUUAGAACUCCACAGUUAAGCAUGCUUAGGUUAGAGUAGUAUUGAGAUGGUUGACCACCCGGGAAGUCCUAGUGUUUUACAUG
rfam:Picea glauca, whole genome shotgun sequence.